GAAGAGUUAAGUUGUUGAAAAUAAUACCAAUGAAAUCGGUCUCGAAAACCGGAGUAGGGGCAACUCUACCGGGGGUUCAAAUCCCCCUCUCUCCGCCA
rnacentral:tRNA from 1 species